UGUCAGUGUGCUUAUGCCAUGCUGUUUGCAUUGUCUUGCUUCCUACCUGUACAAUCCUCAAACCAAUAUUCUUUCUGUGCUCCAGAACGACUGGAAUGUCAUCGCUUGACUCAAUAUUCCAUAACCGCACAGUCUUAUCCUGAUAUCAAAAGUAUUUUCUGCAAAAUAAUUAUUCAAGGAUGAAGACCUCUGCAUUCUUUGAAAUACCAAGGUAUUUGCAAUAAAACCAGGAUAUUUUGGGGCUUUAAAUGCAGUGUAUAUCUGUGUUGUUUGCAAAACGCUAAAGAAGGGAGAUCUUGAAUUGAAUCUGGGUGACAAGAAAAAUGGCCAAACUCCAAAAAGAAUAACCCUGAAGAAUUAUUUCUUAGCCACCUGGUCAAUUUUCAGGAUAAAACAAACCUUUGAACAUGAUAAAACCCAGUUUUGGUCAUCACUGAAUCUGCAGUCAUUUACCCAUCCAGCGUGACCCUUUAAACAAAGAAGAAAGCCAUUAAUAAUCAACAGAAAGUCAACAUGUAUACAAGGCAUUAUAACAUAAUGUCAAUAUCAAUCAAAUAUCUUUAAUAAUGUUAUUUUGAAGUUUUCUUGAUAAUAAAUUGAAGUAUUUUUAAAUUGUAAACAAUACAAAAGGAGUAGUUAUUAAUUGACAUUGUUUAUAUUAAAGUUUACUCACUUUUAAUGCAAACUUCUGGCAGGAGUUGUCCACAUCCCAUAUGACUAAGGUUUCAUCAUACGAUGAAGAGACCAGAGAACUGCCUUCAAUCAUAGAAAUCUCCAUAAGAGUGUACAUCUCACCCAAGACUAAGUGUGACGUUGUUGCUUGAGGUGUCAAAUGUUCGCACGUCUACAAUCUUGGUGGUGCUGUCCAUGGAUGUGGAACAGAUACGGUUGUGGAGGGGUGAAAAACGACAACAAGUGAUGGUAUUACGGUGAUCUGGAGAUUAAAAGGAUGGAAUAAGAUAAUCUUAUUAAACUGUCAUAUAACUAAGGCUCAAGAGGUUUACCUUACAUUUAUAAAAAAAAUGAUUUAUCAUUUCAACACUUCAACAAUUUAAUUUUUCUACCAAAAAUGAGUUGAAAUUGACAUUGAAAGUGCUUUUGGAACACCACACAUGAUUAUAACAGGUUUACUACAUCUUUUAAACAUCUUCAAAAAGACACCAAAACUGUUGAUGCAAACUUCCAAAUGUUCUGGUACAAGAUUUUUUAUGCUGAUUGAUUGAAAUUGCUCCUUAUUCUAUUCAAUGUAUAUAAAUUUCUUACUAAAGAGUUUCUUGAUCAGCUUGCCAUCUCUUGCAUCCCACACACAGACAGCAUAGUCCAGGUCAUUUCCAGACACCACGUACUUGCCAUCGCUUGAGAAAUGACAUGUGGUCACAAUGCCUUCCUGGACAGCUUGCCACUAGUGAUGUUAAGUGUUUCAAAUUAGUAAUGCCAGAUUAAGACGAUUCAGUGAUUCAUUUUAAUAAGAUCCCUAAGAUGUGAAACUGUACACAAGUCAUUUUUUGAAACAGAUUUUGUUUUCAAAUCUGGUCUCUAUUACACUACAAAUUGGCUCUUUUAAUACUAUGUUGUCUCAAGAUGAUAUUGUUUUGUUCACUGUCUCUCUACAAAGCCAAACUGUUGUUACUAGGCCAGUAGAACACUAGUGUAAUGUGUGAUUUUUUUUAUUGCAGUAUAAUAAAUAGUAAAUAAGGUCAUCUACACACUUACCAAGGCACAACCAGUCUCAACAUCCCACAUUAUCAAGGUCUUGUCCCAGCCACCUGAUAUCAACCUAGAAAAAGAGAACAUUAGCCUAGAUCAUGCAUAUAAUUAAUUGUCAAUGACUAUCCUUUAACGCAGUGCAGUAGCAGACCUCGAAAUAUUGGGGGGCACAAUACAGAAACAUUAAGAAAAUAUUUUGGGGCACGGCCACGCCCCUACAGGUCAUUUCCUUAUAAUUUUUGAAAAUAUUGGGGGGGGGCAUGAGCCCCCAGUGCCCCACCCCCAGCUACAGCCCUGUAAUGUGAUAUCUAUGACUUUGCAAUCCCCCCCAGCAAAUCCUGGGUGUUCCGGCCUGUAGAUGCAGUGCAUUAAGAAAGAAAAUUUAGAAAAAUAAUCACCAAAAAAUUAAACAAGUAUGUAAAAUGAUCCUCUUUGCCUAUAAUUAGUUUGUACAAAGGAUGUCCUAUAUCGGCUAAGUCUGUUCAUCAGACCCUCUAUUAUACACACUACUGUAGCCUCAGACAACCCAGGGGCGAAUACAGGAGGGGUGGGUAUCCAUCAUCUAAAUCUAAUUCAGCGUGAAGUAUUGUUAGGUCUAUGUGACCUACCAAGUACCACUGGAUCAGUUAUAAGCCAUCUAUAUGGCCAUUAACCACCCCUUAUUUUGAAAUCCUGUAUCGCCCCUGCAACCUAUUGAAUGAUGUUGUUUGAUUUUCUUACAGUUUUCUUCCGGUUUGACCCACUCACUUUCUGCUUGUUGUGUUGGGGUGACAGCUGGUAAUGAUUGACGUGUGUCCAGUGUACACUUUCAAUUGGUUCCCUGAAGAUGCAUCCUGAAAAGUAUCACAAUAAACAUCAACAAAUAAUAAAAUAAAAAUGAUUAUAGGUG